rnacentral:rRNA from 1 species
GAGACUCUGUGCGCGUGCAUAUCAAUAAGCGGAGGAAAAGAAACUAACAAGGAUUCCCUUAGUAACGGCGAGUGAAGCGGGAAGAGCUCAAAUUUGAAAUCUUCAAGGUUCUACCUUGACGAAUUGUAGUUUAUAGAAGUGUUUUCUGUUAGUAGAGUGGCAAAAGUUCUUUGGAAUAGGACAUCAUAGAGGGUGAGAAUCCCGUAUUUGGUCAUUCUUUCUAGCUUUGUGAUACACUUUCAACGAGUCGGAUUGUUUGGGAAUGCAGUCCAAAAUGGGUGGUAAAUUUCAUCUAAAGCUAAAUAUUGGCGAGAGACCGAUAGCGAACAAGUACCGUGAGGGAAAGAUGAAAAGAACUUUGAAAAGAGAGUUAAACAGUACGUGAAAUUGUCAAAAGGGAAGCGUUUGACACCAAGUGUUGUUUUUCCGAAAAUCAAUUACGAAUGUUUUGUUUUUAAGAAGUUAUGACUUCAUCGGCUUGCUUCUCUCUUUACGAAACUUUCUUAAUGCACUUUUCGGUUAACAAGUCAACAUCAAUUUCUUUUGUUGUAAAAGGGUAUGAGGAAGGUGGCUUUCUUUUCGGAGAAAGUGUUUAUAGCCUUGUACCUCUGCAAUCGGAGAGAUUGAGGUCUGCAGCGUAGAUCCUUCGGGGUUAGAUACAUUUGUGCUAAGUUAUAGCUUUUCAUAGACAACUUGUUGACUAUGUUAAGUCUUGUAGCUUACUCGCUUAUGCUAUUUUACCUACGCUUAGGAUGUUGAACUCUAUCACACACA